AAUCAACGCUGGCGGCGUGCUUAACACAUGCAAGUCGAGCGGUAAGGCCCUUCGGGUACGACGAGCGGCGAACGGGUGAGUAACACGUGGGUGACCUGCCUCUAGCUCUGGGAUAAGCCUGGGAAACUGGGUCUAAUACCGGAUAUGACUCCACGGCGCAUGUUGUGGGGUGGAAAGCCUUGUGUGGCUAGAGAUGGGCCCGCGGCCUAUCAGCUUGUUGGUGGGGUGAUGGCCUACCAAGGCGACGACGGGUAGCCGGCCUGAGAGGGCGACCGGCCACACUGGGACUGAGACACGGCCCAGACUCCUACGGGAGGCAGCAGUGGGGAAUCUUGCGCAAUGGGCGAAAGCCUGACGCAGCGACGCCGCGUGAGGGAUGACGGCCU
rnacentral:rRNA from 1 species